rnacentral:rRNA from 1 species
GAUGAACGCUGGCGGCGUGCCUAAUACAUGCAAGUCGAGCGAACGGACGAGAAGCUUGCUUCUCUGAUGUUAGCGGCGGACGGGUGAGUAACACGUGGAUAACCUACCUAUAAGACUGGGAUAACUUCGGGAACCCGGAGCUAAUACCGGAUGAUAUUUUGAACCGCAUGGUUCAAAAGUGAAAGACGGUCUUGCUGUCACUUAUAGAUGGAUCCGCGCUGCAUUAGCUAGUUGGUAAGGUAACGGCUUACCAAGGCAACGAUGCAUAGCCGACCUGAGAGGGUGAUCGGCCACACUGGAACUGAGACACGGUCCAGACUCCUACGGGAGGCAGCAGUAGGGAAUCUUCCGCAAUGGACGAAAGCCUGACGGAGCAACGCCGCGUGAGUGAUGAAGGUCUUCGGAUCGUAAAACUCUGUGAUUAGAGAAGAACAUAUGUGUAAGUAACUGUGCACAUCUUGACGGUACCUAAUCAGAAAGCCACGGCUAACUACGUG